GAUGAAGAACGCAGCGAAAUGCGAUAAGUAGUGUGAAUUGCAGAAUUCAGUGAAUCAUCGAAUCUUUGAACGCACAUUGCGCCUCCUGGUAUUCCGGGAGGCAUGCCUGUUCGAGCGUCAUUAAAAUCACUCAAGCUUAGGUUUACCUAUUGCUUGGUCUUGGAGAUGGAAGCCAAUUUAUUGGAAUCCUCUUCGAAAUUCAAUGGCGAAGACCCUUGCUCUCCCAAGUGUAGUAAUAACUUAUGUCACUGAAGGAAGCGAGAAAUCUUCUGCCGUAACCCCCAUAUUUUCUAUGAUUGACCUCGGAUCAGGUAGGGAUACCCGCUGAACUUAAGCAUAUCAAUAAGCGGAA
rnacentral:misc_RNA from 1 species